UCUCGAAAGUUCUCUUUGUAUUGAAAGAAAUUUCCUUUGCCUCAUAUCACCACCCUAACAGGCUAACCCUUAUCCUUCCUGUUCUAUCUCGUUUGUUCAGUUGCAGAGAUGUCACAUUUUGGUAGAUCCGGUCCUCCAGAUAUCAGAGAUACAUACUCUCUUCUCGUUCUUAACAUCACCUUCCGAACUACAGCAGAUGAUCUCUUCCCGCUGUUCGAUAAGUAUGGGAAGGUCGUCGACAUCUUUAUCCCGAGAGACAGAAGGACUGGGGACUCACGCGGGUUUGCGUUUGUUCGGUAUAAGUAUGCGGACGAGGCACAGAAGGCAGUAGAAAGGCUCGACGGAAGGAAUGUUGAUGGCAGAGAGAUUAUGGUUCAAUUCGCAAAAUAUGGGCCAAAUGCUGAACCAAUACAGAAAGGAAGGAUAGUGGAAUCAUUGACAAAGUCAAGAGGCAGGUCACGAAGCCGUAGCCCCCGCCCAAGGUACCGAGAUGAUUACAGGGAUAGGGAUUACAGGAGGAGAAGUCGUAGUAGAAGUAGGGGUAGAUAUGAUCGUGACAGGUAUCGUCACAGGGAGAGGGAUUAUCGCCGCCGAACCAGGAGUCGCAGUGUUAGUCCUGAUUACUACCGAGGUCGUGGCAGAGGCAGGUAUGAUGAUGAGAGAAGGAGAAGCCGCAGCCGGUCUUAUGAGAGUGCUUCCCCUCUUCGACAUAGUCCUUCUCCAAGGAAGACGCCUCCAUCUAGGGAUGGAAGUCCUGAUAGACUCAGCCAAGAUGAGCGUUCGUCAUCACCUAGAAGUGCUUCACCCCGAGAUCGAACUGGUGCUUCUCGGAGCUCGUCUCCACAGAAUUCAGAUGCUGAUGAAUGAUGGAGUAGCAUGGCUUGUUCUGGCACUGAAUAUUGGUUAAUGUACCAUCUGUAGCUCUAUUGCUACUGGAAAAUAGCUUCAUGGUUUUGCUUGUCCUAGUCAAAUUACUAGAUGAUAGUUUUGGUAGCUCUGGACUUCAUUUGAAGUUAUGUUCGUGAAAAGAAUUAAUGUGGCUGAUUGGCGAGAUGGUGAUAUUGUAGCUGUUGAUGCUGUUUUGUACUUGAUGGAUGAUGUUCGUUUUGAUGCUCGUUCCAAACAGUAGUAAUCUGGUGGUUCUCACUUCCUAAAAUGUUAAUCAGUUUGCUGUGAUGAUCCAAUGAUUGGUAAGAUUCAUGAUUCAAUUAUCUUCUUUUUUUGGUCUUUCAUCCAUCUGGAUUCAGGCAUUUUACCUGACCACACUCCAUGGCUUCAAUGGUUGUAAUGUUUUGGGCCUUGAAAGGAGUAGUUGUAGCUGUGAUGGCCUAAGAACAUUGGCAGAGGGGGAACAUAAUUUACCUGUAGCUGAUGCUGCGAGUGUCCUGGACCUGAGAUUCGAAUGUUGUUGCAGACUCGAGAAUGAGGCCUAUUUGCUGAGCUUGACCCUUCCAUUAUAACAUGGUCAACAGGGUAACAGCUGCAUGGUUGCUUAUUUUGUUUAGGGUUCUUGGUUAGACUUCAAGUCAUUCAAUGUCUAGUUAUUAGGAUAUUGAUUUGUUGCAUCAUGUAUUGAGAUGUGAUAGCACAUGGAGUUGUGGCUGUAGCUGUGAAGCUGUAGCGGAUAAUAUUGGUAUCAGUGUGAUAGCACAUGAAGUUGUGGCUGUACCUGUGAAGUGGUAGCCGAUAUCCACCUAAUGCUGCUGUUGAUUGCAUUUCUAGUUGCGGGUCAGGUUGAAUCUGGUACUACUGAUUUUGGUGCUGAUUGGCUUUGGUCUGAUUUGGUCUACCUGGUUGCGGUCUGUUCCAGUAGCUCUGCUGGUAUGCCUGUGUUUUUAUCUUAUGCAGGUCAGUUGGAGCUUUUGUUCCUCUGAUCUUACUUUAUGUGGUGCAACCUUGAAAACUAAAUUGAAAAACUCUGCUGAAGUUGUUUUCA